GUAGGUGGCAAGCGUUGUCCGGAAUUAUUGGGCGUAAAGCGCGCGCAGGCGGUUCUUUAAGUCUGAUGUGAAAGCCCACAGCUCAACCGUGGAGGGUCAUUGGAAACUGGAGAACUUGAGUACAGAAGAGGAAAGCGGAAUUCCACGUGUAGCGGUGAAAUGCGUAGAGAUGUGGAGGAACACCAGUGGCGAAGGCGGCUUUCUGGUCUGUAACUGACGCUGAGGCGCGAAAGCGUGGGGAGCAAACAGGAUUAGAUACCCUGGUAGUCCACGCCGUAAACGAUGAGUGCUAAGUGUUAGGGGGUUUCCGCCCCUUAGUGCUGCAGCUAACGCAUUAAGCACUCCGCCUGGGGAGUACGGCCGCAAGGCUG
rnacentral:rRNA from 1 species